AUUGAACGCUGGCGGCAGGCCUAACACAUGCAAGUCGAACGAGUGGCGGACGGGUGAGUAAUGUCUGGGAAACUGCCUGAUGGAGGGGGAUAACUACUGGAAACGGUAGCUAAUACCGCAUACCAUCGGAUGUGCCCAGAUGGGAUUAGCUAUUAGGUGGGGUAAAGGCUCACCUAGGCGACGAUCCCUAGCUGGUCUGAGAGGGUGACCAGCCAAACUGGAACUGAGACACGGUCCAGACUCCUAAGGGAGGUAGCAGUAGGGAAUAUUGCACAAUGGGCGCAAGCCUGAUGCAGCCAUGCCGCGUGUGUGAAGAAGGCCUUCGGGUUGUAAAGUACUUUCAGCAGGGAGGCGUUACCCGCAGAAGAAGCACCGGCUAACUCCGUGCCAGCAGCCGCGGUAAUUC
rnacentral:rRNA from 1 species